UACGGGAGGCAGCAGUGGGGAAUAUUGGGCAAUGGUUGCAAGACUGACCCAGCCAUGCCGCGUGCAGGAAGAGGGCCAAAGGGUUGUAAACUGAUUUUAUCUGGGAAGAAAAAGUCCCUGCGUGGAAAAUUGCCGGUACCAGAUGAAUAAGCUCCGGCUAACUCCGUGCCAGCACCCGCGGUAAUACGGAGGGUGCAAGUAAUGUCCGGAUUUAUUGGGUUUAAAGGGUGCGUAGGUUGCUGAAUAAGUCAGCGGUGAACCCCUUCUGCUCUACUGGAGCAGUUCCGUUGAUACUGUUUAGCUUGAGUGUGGGAGGGGUACAAAGAUUUGAUGGUGUAGGCGGUGAAAUACAUAGAUAGCAUCAAGAACACCGAUAAGGAAGGCAUUGUGCUGGCCAACAACUGACGCUGAGGCAAGAAAGGGGGGGGAUCGAGCAUGAUUAGCUACCUUGGUCGUCCCCACAGUAAACGAUGAUUACUCGCUGUUAAGGUGUAUACUUAGUGCCAAGCGAACGC
rnacentral:rRNA from 1 species